rnacentral:rRNA from 1 species
UACGUAGGGGGCAAGCGUUGUCCGGAUUUAUUGGGCGUAAAGAGCGUGUAGGCGGCCAGAUAGGUCCGUUGUGAAAACUCGAGGCUCAACUUCGAGCUGUCGGUGGAAACUUUCUGGCUAGAGUCCGGAAGAGGAGAAUGGAAUUCCUGGUGUAGCGGUGAAAUGCGCAGAUAUCAGGAAGAACACCCGUGGCGAAGGCGGUUCUCUGGGACGGUACUGACGCUGAGACGCGAAAGCUAGGGGAGCAAACGGG